rnacentral:rRNA from 1 species
UAGUCCACGCCCUAAACGAUGCUAACUCGAUAUUUGGAUCUUGAAUCUGAGUGUCUAAGCGAAAGCGAUAAGUUAGCCACCUGGGGAGUACGGUCGCAAGAUUAAAACUCAAAGGAAUUGACGGGGGCCUGCACAAGCGGUGGAGCAUGUGGUUUAAUUCGACGCAACGCGCAGAACCUUACCAGCUUUUGACAUCCUGGUCGCGGAUUUGGGAGACCAUUUCCUUCAGUUCGGCUGGACCAGUGACAGGUGCUGCAUGGCUGUCGUCAGCUCGUGUCGUGAGAUGUUGGGUUAAGUCCCGCAACGAGCGCAACCCUCAUCCUUAGUUGCCAGCAUUUAGUUGGGCACUCUAAGGAAACUGCCGGUGAUAAGCCGGAGGAAGGUGGGGAUGACGUCAAGUCCUCAUGGCCCUUACAAGCUGGGCUACACACGUGCUACAAUGGCGAUGACAGUGAGCAGCUAACCCGCGAGGGCAAGCUAAUCUCUAAAAGUCGU